rnacentral:rRNA from 1 species
UACGGGGGGGGCAAGCGUUGUUCGGAUUUACUGGGCGUAAAGGGCGCGUAGGCGGUCAGCACAAGUCAGUUGUGAAAUCUCCGGGCUUAACUCGGAAAGGUCAACUGAUACUGUGCGGCUAGAGUGCGGAAGGGGCAACUGGAAUUCUUGGUGUAGCGGUGAAAUGCGUAGAUAUCAAGAGGAACACCUGCGGCGAAGGCGGGUUGCUGGGCCGACACUGACGCUGAUGCGCGAAAGCUAGGGGAGCGAACGGG